ACCACAGCAGAGCAGAAACCCAGCGCAAUUCACCCACCUCUCCCCGCCUGCUGGGAGCCCAAGCUUCUGCGUCUCAGAGCUUACUGCGCCCCCUGCUCUCCCACCCCAUCUUCCUGCUCAUGGAGGCGGCAGCGCAGUGUUGUGCUGAGGAUGCGGAGAAGGGGUCCGAGCCCCAGCUGGAUCCCUACAUAUCCCUUCUCCGACCAUGAGCAUGUCCCUUUCCCUUUCUCAGCCUCAGUCCCUCCAUACAAUAGAAAGCCUCCUUUCUAGGUCUGACAUGACCUCUGGUUAGCCCCUUCUUGACACUUUGGACUCCCCAUUACACUUCAGAAUCCAGUUCUCAGAACUCCAACCGCCAGCUGUCAGCUGCGAGCCAAGACCCACAUCUUCUGCAGCCCAUUUCACUAUCUCCUUCCCUUUCAUAUCUCAGCCGCGAUAGCGACUGCAGCUUGCCUGGUGGCUGAGGUCAGAGGGCAGAGAACUCUCAUCUGACAGCCCACUGAACAGCUGAUUACCCUGAGAAAGGAGACUGUCUGGCUACUGGAGACUGCCUGACUCCUUCCAGCCAGUUGGGCAGGGGUCUUGGGUCAGUCUGGGUGGAGCUGCAGGUGUGUUUUGUGCAAAGAUGUGAACCCCUCUCCAUUGGCUCUGAUAACCUCUAAGCUGCACAUGUCUGGAUGACCUAAUGAGAGCUGACGACCCCCUCCCCAGCUGGCCUGCCCAGGAGCUGACAACUCUACAAGCAUCAGAGUUCCUGGCCCCUAGCCCAUCCCCAUGUUGUGCAGUCUGCGGGCACUGGGGAACCUCUCCGAGCAAAUAAAUGGCAAACAUGUGUUGAGAGUCUCUGAGAGGCAAAGAGAACGAUCAGCAUUUCCCAAACUUAUUUCUCCACAGGAUCUUUUUUUACAUGGAGCGUCUCGUAGGACUGGCUUCUGAGGAACACAGCUGCAGCUGCAACCGACUUGGUUUUUGGGCCUGAGCCAGGGGCCUGGGCCAGAGGAGAGCAAUUGAGCACCCUGGCUGAGUGAGGGGUGAAUCUCAGGAGUUGAGGACAACUAUUUAGAGUAACACUGCCUCCAACCCCCAAGCCUGGUUCAAGGAAAGACUGAAGUGGGAGGAGGAGGAGCAAAGACACAUAACGUUUUUCUCUAUCACCAAAAGAAAACCUUUAAGGGAGCAGAGAAAAUGGC
rnacentral:lncRNA from 1 species